CGUCACCCCGCCGCCUCCUGCCCCGGCAUGCACUCGAUGGGUGGGGGGUUGUGCCCCCAUCAGGAACAGAAAUAGGAAAGGGGCUAGAAGGGACCCGAGGGGCGCGGGGAAAAGCAGCGCCAGGGGAAGGAAACCGCCGGCCGCCUCACCCUUGAGCACCUCGAGGGUCCUCGAGAGCUGCGGCGGCACCUGCGCUGUUCCCAUGGCGACGGGCGGCCCGCAAAGCGCCCUGAAGACUGAGGCUGAGGCGCGAGAAGUUCACCGACCCGUCGCCCUGCCGCCUCUUGCUCCGGCAUGCACUCAAUGGGUGGGGAGUCUGCGCCCCCUCCUCCUCCUCCUGAGAAACAAACGGUCGGAAAUUCCAGAAACUUCCCAAGGCAGGACACUGACCAUGCUUCUGAACAGAAACUUCAUCCACCAGAAGGUAUGGCUUCACGUACACUGUCCAAGCUCAAUUCAAACAGCGGCAACCAAGGGCAGUUCCAUUCUUCAAACUAUCCACGUAAUCAAGGCAGUAAUCCUGUCAGCAGGGCCAUUCUAAGCAGAAUUUGAGAGCUCAGGGUCUCCAUUGGUGACAGUGGACAUAACGCGCAUUUUGGACCUAAUUUUUCUUGCACAGCAGAGACUUCAGGAAACCUGGUACAGAAAGACCCUCUGGCUCAAGUAAAAUUUAUGGAAACCCACCACUUAAUGCUUCGCUUGACAGCCUAGUCCCUCAUCUUGUGGAAAUGGAAAAGUUACAGCACCUAAGCAUCUUAAGAGAACGGACGAGGGAGACUGUUUAUUCCACUCUCAUUGCUAACCAUCGUGUUACUCCUAGAAAGAAUUACACCAAACAAAAGAGCCAAGGCCACUUGAUGGUUCAGGUUGUUGACAAGUGAAGUUGAAUGCAGAUUUCCAGAAUUCUAGACAUGAUGGGCAAGAAAGAGACAUUCCAAAAUGCACCUGCCAACAGUGUGAGGGCCACAAAAAUUCUGCAGCACCUAUACAUUCAUCAUCAAAGCUGCCCUGAGCACCUUGCAGGAACUCUAUGUCCACCAAACCUCCAGGAAUUUUAAGCUUGAGCGACAUACAUGCACUACCAUCUCUGCCAUACCCUUCCUUACCUGUUGGUGGAAGUUCAAAGAAUGAAAAAAGAAAGAUGGAGAAGAAAGUUCUUAAAAAAAAAAGGUUACUUUUAAAGAGUAACCUCCCUCCAUCUCAAAAACUAAAAUCUGCCUCUCCUAUUUCAAAGGAGGAGUCCCAUAGUGUUGAUCUCCAAUGAUCUCUAGAAUGAAACCAUUGUUUAUCAGUGUUAUUUGUGCAAAACAAUUGAGCAAGACCAUUUUGGGCAGCUUGGUUUGGUUUGCAGGCUUGCUUGGGUUUGCAGACUCUGAUCAGACUCUUUUCCUCCCCCUCUCUUAGCUCUGCCUUGCAGCAGUCUUGCAGCUCCAAGAACUGAAGUUUUCUCUUGCUGUCUGAAGACUACUGCUCAGGUGCUUGCCUUUGGGCUGGAGUUUCUCCUUCCCAGCUCUCCCCAGUUGGAGAGGGUGGGGCUUUUUAUAAAACAGGAGAGGGCAGGGCUUCCAAUGAAGGUGAUGGUGGGGUGGUUUAACUCUCCUUCCCAGGCAGCACCAAAACUGGAUGCCAGGAAAAAGAACUGCCUGCUAACUCCAGGUGCUGAGUUCCCUCUUCCACAUAAAUGCAAAUUAAGAACUAGAUGGAGCUAUCCAAAAUGUUCUUGCUCAAUUGUUUUGCACACAUAACACUGAUAAAUGAUGGCUUCACUUAGAGUUUUUCUGGAGAUCAAUACUGUGGGCUUCUCUCUUUUCCUCGACACCCACAUUCUUGCUUUCAGUUCCCUUUUUAUAAAACAAACUCUCCAAUUAAGGCAGCACCAAAACUCUGGAUUCCAGGAAGAAAAAAAUGACUGCUUACUCCAGGUGCUGAGUUCAUUCUUCCCCACAAUUAUACAAAAGUAUUUAGAUGCUUUUCCCAGAUCUGUUGACAUUUGACAUUAUUAUUUCUACAUUUGUAUCAGAUAACCAUAACCACAGAACAAUUUUUUAUGUAAUGUUC